AGUAGUCUCGCACAGAUGCAUAUCAAUAAGCGGAGGAAAAGAAACUAACAAGGAUUCCCCUAGUAACGGCGAGUGAAGCGGGAAGAGCUCAAAUUUGAAAUCUUAAAGGGUUUCCCUUUACGAAUUGUAGUUUAAAGAAGUGUUUUCUGUUGAGGUUUUGGUAAAAGUUCUUUGGAAUAGGACAUCAUAGGAGGGUGAGAAUCCCGUAUUUGACCUUUACUUUCAACUUUGUGAUACACUUUCAAGAGUCGGAUUGAUUGGGAAUGCAGUCCAAAAUGGGUGGUAAAUUUCAUCUAAAGCUAAAUAUUGGCGAGAGACCGAUAGCGAACAAGUACCGUGAGGGAAAGAUGAAAAGAACUUUGAAAAGAGAGUUAAACAGUACGUGAAAUUGUCAAAAGGGAAGCGUUUGACACCAGUGUUGUUUUUCUGAAAAUCAAUUAAAGAACUGUUUAUGCUAAGCUGUUUAGACUUUAUCAGCUAUCUGUUUAGUUUUGAGCUUUUCUUUAAUGCACUUUUCAGUUAACAAGUCAACAUCAAUUUCUUUUGCUGUAAAAAAGCUUGAGGAAGGUGGCUUGAGAUUCGUCUUAAGUGUUUAUAGCCUCUUGCCUAUGCAGUCGGAGAGAUUGAGGUCUGCAGCGUAGAUCCUUCGGGGCUAAAUGCAUUUGUGCUAAGUUAUAGCAUUUUAUAGACAACUUGUUGACUAUGAUUUGUCUUGUAGCUUACUCGCUUAUGUUAUUUUACCUACGCUUAGGAUGUUGAAGACUCUACAGAGAUA
rnacentral:rRNA from 1 species